GGGUGAGUAACGCGUGGGUAACCUGCCUCAUACUUGGGGAUAACAGUUGGAAACGACUGCUAAUACCGCAUAAGCGCACGGUACCGCAUGGUACCGUGUGAAAAACUCCGGUGGUAUGAGAUGGACCCGCGUCUGAUUAGCUAGUUGGUGGGGUAACAGCCUACCAAGGCGACGAUCAGUAGCCGACCUGAGAGGGUGACCGGCCACAUUGGGACUGAGACACGGCCCAAACUCCUACGGGAGGCAGCAGUGGGGAAUAUUGCACAAUGGGGGAAACCCUGAUGCAGCGACGCCGCGUGAGCGAAGAAGUAUUUCGGUAUGUAAAGCUCUAUCAGCAGGGAAGAAAAAAUGACGGUACCUGACUAAGAAGCACCGGCUAAAUACGUGCCAGCAGCCGCGGUAAUACGUAUGGUGCAAGCGUUAUCCGGAUUUACUGGGUGUAAAGGGAGCGCAGGCGGUGCGGCAAGUCUGAUGUGAAAGCCCGGGGCUCAACCCCGGUACUGCAUUGGAAACUGUCGUACUAGAGUGUCGGAGGGGUAAGUGGAAUUCCUAGUGUAGCGGUGAAAUGCGUAGAUAUUAGGAGGAACACCAGUGGCGAAGGCGGCUUACUGGACGAUAACUGACGCUGAGGCUCGAAAGCGUGGGGAGCAAACAGGAUUAGAUACCCUGGUAGUCCA
rnacentral:rRNA from 1 species